rnacentral:rRNA from 1 species
AAUCAUGGAGUAUAAUAAUUAAAUUUAAUAAAUUUAAUAUAACUAUUAAUAGAAUUAGGUUACUAAUAAAUUAAUAACAAUUAAUUUUAAAACCUAAAGGUAAACCUUUAUAUUAAUAAUGUUUUUUUUAUUAUUAUUUUUAUAAUAAGAAUAAUUAUUAAUAAUAAUAAACUAAGUGAACUGAAACAUCUAAGUAACUUAAGGAUAAGAAAUCAACAGAGAUAUUAUGAGUAUUGGUGAGAGAAAAUAAUAAAGGUCUAAUAAGUAUUAUGUGAAAAAAAUGUAAGAAAAUAGGAUAACAAAUUCUAAGACUAAAUACUAUUAAUAAGUAUAGUAAGUACCGUAAGGGAAAGUAUGAAAAUGAUUAUUUUAUAAGCAAUCAUGAAUAUAUUAUAUUAUAUUAAUGAUGUACCUUUUGUAUAAUGGGUCAGCAAGUAAUUAAUAUUAGUAAAACAAUAAGUUAUAAAUAAAUAGAAUAAUAUAUAUAUAUAUAAAAAUAUAUUAAAAUAUUUAAUUAAUAUUAAUUGACCCGAAAGCAAACGAUCUAACUAUGAUAAGAUGGAUAAACGAUCGAACAGGUUGAUGUUGCAAUAUCAUCUGAUUAAUUGUGGUUAGUAGUGAAAGACAAAUCUGGUUUGCAGAUAGCUGGUUUUCUAUGAAAUAUAUGUAAGUAUAGCCUUUAUAAAUAAUAAUUAUUAUAUAAUAUUAUAUUAAUAUUAUAUAAAGAAUGGUACAGCAAUUAAUAUAUAUUAGGGAACUAUUAAAGUUUUAUUAAUAAUAUUAAAUCUCGAAAUAUUUAAUUAUAUAUAAUAAAGAGUCAGAUUAUGUGCGAUAAGGUAAAUAAUCUAAAGGGAAACAGCCCAGAUUAAGAUAUAAAGUUCCUAAUAAAUAAUAAGUGAAAUAAAUAUUAAAAUAUUAUAAUAUAAUCAGUUAAUGGGUUUGACAAUAACCACUUUUUAAUGAACAUGUAACAAUGCACUGAUUUAUAAUAAAUAAAAAAUAAUAUUUAAAAUCAAAUAUAUAUAUAUAUAUAUAUUUGUUAAUAGAUAAUAUACGGAUCUUAAUAAUAAGAAUUAUUUAAUUCCUAAUAUGGAAUAUUAUAUUUUUAUAAUAAUAAUAAAAAUAUAAAUACUGAAUAUCUAAAUAUUAUUAUUACUUUUUUAAUAAUAAUAAUAUGGUAAUAGAACAUUUAAUGAUAAUAUAUAUUAGUUAUUAAUUAAUAUAUGUAUUAAUUAAAUAGAGAAUGCUGACAUGAGUAACGAAAAAAAGGUAUAAACCUUUUCACCUAAAACAUAAGGUUUAACUAUAAAAGUACGGCCCCUAAUUAAAUUAAUAAGAAUAUAAAUAUAUUUAAGAUGGGAUAAUCUAUAUUAAUAAAAAUUUUAUCUUAAAAUAUAUAUAUUAUUAAUAAUUAUAUUAAUUAAUUAAUAAUAUAUAUAAUUAUAUUAUAUAUUAUAUUUUUUUUUUUAUAAUAUAAUAUAAUAUAAACUAAUAAAGAUCAGGAAAUAAUUAAUGUAUACCGUAAUGUAGACCGACUCAGGUAUGUAAGUAGAGAAUAUGAAGGUGAAUUAGAUAAUUAAAGGGAAGGAACUCGGCAAAGAUAGCUCAUAAGUUAGUCAAUAAAGAGUAAUAAGAACAAAGUUGUACAACUGUUUACUAAAAACACCGCACUUUGCAGAAACGAUAAGUUUAAGUAUAAGGUGUGAACUCUGCUCCAUGCUUAAUAUAUAAAUAAAAUUAUUUAACGAUAAUUUAAUUAAAUUUAGGUAAAUAGCAGCCUUAUUAUGAGGGUUAUAAUGUAGCGAAAUUCCUUGGCCUAUAAUUGAGGUCCCGCAUGAAUGACGUAAUGAUACAACAACUGUCUCCCCUUUAAGCUAAGUGAAAUUGAAAUCGUAGUGAAGAUGCUAUGUACCUUCAGCAAGACGGAAAGACCCUAUGCAGCUUUACUGUAAUUAGAUAGAUCGAAUUAUUGUUUAUUAUAUUCAGCAUAUUAAGUAAUCCUAUUAUUAGGUAAUCGUUUAGAUAUUAAUGAGAUACUUAUUAUAAUAUAAUGAUAAUUCUAAUCUUAUAAAUAAUUAUUAUUAUUAUUAUUAAUAAUAAUAAUAAUAUGCUUUCAAGCAUAGUGAUAAAACAUAUUUAUAUGAUAAUCACUUUACUUAAUAGAUAUAAUUCUUAAGUAAUAUAUAAUAUAUAUUAUAUAUAUAUUAUAUAUAAUAUAAGAGACAAUCUCUAAUUGGUAGUUUUGAUGGGGCGUCAUUAUCAGCAAAAGUAUCUGAAUAAGUCCAUAAAUAAAUAUAUAAAAUUAUUGAAUAAAAAAUAAUAUAUAUUAUAUAUAUUAAUUAUAAAUUGAAAUAUGUUUAUAUAAAUUUAUAUUUAUUGAAUAUAUUUUAGUAAUAGAUAAAAAUAUGUACAGUAAAAUUGUAAGGAAAACAAUAAUAACUUUCUCCUCUCUCGGUGGGGGUUCACACCUAUUUUUAAUAGGUGUGAACCCCUCUUCGGGGUUCCGGUUCCCUUUCGGGUCCCGGAACUAAAAAAAAUAAAAAUGGAAAGAAUUAAAUUAAUAUAAUGGUAUAACUGUGCGAUAAUUGUAACACAAACGAGUGAAACAAGUACGUAAGUAUGGCAUAAUGAACAAAUAACACUGAUUGUAAAGGUUAUUGAUAACGAAUAAAAGUUACGCUAGGGAUAACAGGGUAAUAUAACGAAAGAGUAGAUAUUGUAAGUUAUGUUUGCCACCUCGAUGUCGACUCAACAUUUCCUCUUGGUUGUAAAAGCUAAGAAGGGUUUGACUGUUCGUCAAUUAAAAUGUUACGUGAGUUGGGUUAAAUACGAUGUGAAUCAGUAUGGUUCCUAUCUGCUGAAGGAAAUAUUAUCAAAUUAAAUCUCAUUAUUAGUACGCAAGGACCAUAAUGAAUCAACCCAUGGUGUAUCUAUUGAUAAUAAUAUAAUAUAUUUAAUAAAAAUAAUACUUUAUUAAUAUAUUAUCUAUAUUAGUUUAUAUUUUAAUUAUAUAUUAUCAUAGUAGAUAAGCUAAGUUGAUAAUAAAUAAAUAUUGAAUACAUAUUAAAUAUGAAGUUGUUUUAAUAAGAUAAUUAAUCUGAUAAUUUUAUACUAAAAUUAAUAAUUAUAGGUUUUAUAUAUUAUUUAUAAAUAAAUAUAUUAUAAUAAUAAUAAUUAUUAUUAUUAAUAAAAAAAUA